AUUGAACGCUGGCGGCAUGCCUAACACAUGCAAGUCGAACGGCAGCACAGUAAAGAUUUCGGUCUUUAUGGGUGGCGAGUGGCGGACGGGUGAGUAAUGCGUAGGAAUCUGUCCUGGAGAGUGGGAUAACCCGAGGAAACUCGGGCUAAUACUUCAUGAUAUCGAGAGAUCAAAGGCAGGGGACCCUUCGGGGCCUUGCGCUCUAGGAUGAGACUACGUCGGAUUAGCUAGUUGGUGGGGUAAAGGCCUACCAAGGCGACUAUCCGUAGCUGGUCUGAGAGGAUGACCAGCCACACUGGGACUGAGACACGGCCCAGACUCCUACGGGAGGCAGCAGUGGGGAAUCUUGGACAAUGGGGGAAACCCUGAUCCAGCGAUGCCGCGUGUGUGAAGAAGGCCUUCGGGUUGUAAAGCACUUUAGUUGGGGAAGAAAAGUAAUGAGUGAAUAACUGAUUGCUCUGACGGUACCCAAAGAAUAAGCACCGGCUAACUCUGUGCCAGCAGCCGCAGUAA
rnacentral:rRNA from 1 species